rnacentral:rRNA from 1 species
AUUGAACGCUGGCGGCAGGCCUAACACAUGCAAGUCGAGCGGAUGAGAGGAGCUUGCUCCUUGAUUCAGCGGCGGACGGGUGAGUAAUGCCUAGGAAUCUGCCUGGUAGUGGGGGACAACGUUUCGAAAGGAACGCUAAUACCGCAUACGUCCUACGGGAGAAAGCAGGGGACCUUCGGGCCUUGCGCUAUCAGAUGAGCCUAGGUCGGAUUAGCUAGUAGGUGGGGUAAUGGCCCACCUAGGCGACGAUCCGUAACUGGUCUGAGAGGAUGAUCAGUCACACUGGAACUGAGACACGGUCCAGACUCCUACGGGAGGCAGCAGUGGGGAAUAUUGGACAAUGGGCGAAAGCCUGAUCCAGCCAUGCCGCGUGUGUGAAGAAGGUCUUCGGAUUGUAAAGCACUUUAAGUUGGGAGGAAGGGCAGUUAGUUAAUACCUGACUGUUUUGACGUUACCAACAGAAUAAGCACCGGCUAACUUCGUGCCAGCCGCCGCAGUAAUAC